GUGGGGAAUCUUGCACAAUGGGGGAAACCCUGAUGCAGCGACGCCGCGUGAGCGAUGAAGCCCCUCGGGGUGUAAAGCUCUUUCGGCAGGGAAGAUUAUGACGGUACCUGCAAAAGCAGCUGCGGCUAACUACGUGCCAGCAGCCGCGGUAAUACGUAGGCAGCAAGCGUUGUUCGGAGUUACUGGGCGUAAAGGGUGCGUAGGCGGCUUUUUAAGUUUGGUGUGAAAUCUCCCGGCUCAACUGGGAGGGUGCGCCGAAUACUGAGAGGCUAGAGUGUGGGAGAGGAAAGUGGAAUUCCUGGUGUAGCGGUGAAAUGCGUAGAUAUCAGGAGGAACACCGGUGGUGUAAACGGCUUUCUGGACCAUAACUGACGCUGAGGCACGAAAGCGUGGGUAGCAAACAGGAUUAGAUACCCUUGUAGUCC
rnacentral:rRNA from 1 species